AUGACUUUGUAUCACUGUGUGGUGACUUUUGGUGGAGGAACCAGACUGGAUGUUGGAAGUGAUGUCCGUCCCUCCCUGACGGUGCUGCCCCCCUCCAGUGAGGAGCUGGAGCAGGGGAAGGCCACGCUCAUGUGUCUGGCCAACAAGGGCUUCCCCUCAGACUGGAGUCUGUCCUGGAAGGUGGACGGCAGCAGCAGCAGCAGCAGCAGCAGCAGCUGGGAGGAGAGCAGGAGCCCCGGGGUGCUGGAGAAGGACGGCCGCUACAGCUGGAGCAGCACCCUGAGGCUCUCUGCAGACCAGUGGAGGAAGGUGGGCUCUGUGACCUGUGAGGCCACCCAGGGCUCCCAGACUCCACUCUCUCAGACACUGAGGAGAGACCAGUGUUCCCAGUCCUGACCUGACUCACUGGGACUCUGCUACUGGUUUUACUCUGCUACUGCUCUCAAUCUGCACUCUGUAACACUGUCUUAGUCUCUCUUCUUUGCUUGUCUUAAUGUUGAUGGUUCAAAGAUAUCGAAAUAAUAAAGAUUUUAUCAAAUCA